rfam:Triticum aestivum genome assembly, contig: Triticum_aestivum_CS42_TGACv1_scaffold_321135_4BL
AGAAUACUCCCUCCGUCCGGAAAUACUUGUCGAAGAAAUGGAUGUAUCUAGACAUAUUUUAGUUCUAGAUACAUCUAUUUUUAUGCAUUUCUGCGACAAGUAUUCUUGGACGGAAGGAGUAUUUG